GCCGGGCAUGGUGGCGUGUGCCUGUAAUCCCAACUACUGGGGGGCUGAGGCAGGAGGAUCGCUUGAACCUGGGAGGCGGAGGUUGCAGUGAGCCGAGAUCAUGCCACUGCACUCCAGCCUGGGCAACAAAGUGAGACUUUGUCUUGA
rnacentral:SRP_RNA from 1 species